UCUUCCAUGAUAAAAACAUCUUCUUAGAUACCCUUUCACUCCUUUUAUGAGUGAAACAUAACAGUCUGACAAAC